GAUGAAGAACGUAGCGAAAUGCGAUACUUGGUGUGAAUUGCAGAAUCCCGUGAACCAUCGAGUCUUUGAACGCAAGUUGCGCCCGAAGCCAUUAGGUCGAGGGCACGCCUGCCUGGGCGUCACACGUCGUUGCCCCCCCAUCUACUCCUUCGGGAUUGCGGGGGGCGGAUGAUGGCCUCCCGUGCGCCUCGCCGCGCGGUUGGCAUAAAUGCCAAGUCCUCGGCGACGCACGCCACGACAAUCGGUGGUUGCGAAACCUCGGUUGCCCGUCGUGUGCGGUCGUCGCGCAUCGAGGGCUCGAAAAAAUUGCCGGGUUCCGGCUCGGCUUUCAACGCGACCCUAGGUCAGGCGGGGUUACCCGCUGAAUUUAAGCAUAUCAAUAAGCGGAGGA
rnacentral:misc_RNA from 1 species